rnacentral:rRNA from 1 species
AGUGAACGCUGGCGGUAGGCCUAACACAUGCAGGUCGAACGGCAGCACAGUAAGAGCUUGCUCUUACGGGUGGCGAGUGGCGGACGGGUGAGGAAUACAUCGGAAUCUACUUUUUCGUGGGGGAUAACGUAGGGAAACUUACGCUAAUACCGCAUACGACCUACGGGUGAAAGCAGGGGAUCUUCGGACCUUGCGCGAUUGAAUGAGCCGAUGUCGGAUUAGCUAGUUGGCGGGGUAAAGGCCCACCAAGGCGACGAUCCGUAGCUGGUCUGAGAGGAUGAUCAGCCACACUGGAACUGAGACACGGUCCAGACUCCUACGGGAGGCAGCAGUGGGGAAUAUUGGACAAUGGGCGCAAGCCUGAUCUAGCCAUACCGCGUGGGUGAAGAAGGCCUUCGGGUUGUAAAGCCCUUUUGUUGGGAAAGAAAAGCAGCAGGUUAAUACCCCGCUGUUCUGACGGUACCCAAAGAAUAAGCACCGGCUAACUUCGUG